rnacentral:rRNA from 1 species
UACGUAGGUGGCAAGCGUUAUCCGGAAUUAUUGGGCGUAAAGCGCGCGCAGGUGGUUUCUUAAGUCUGAUGUGAAAGCCCACGGCUCAACCGUGGAGGGUCAUUGGAAACUGGGAGACUUGAGUGCAGGAGAGGAAAGUGGAAUUCCAAGUGUAGCGGUGAAAUGCGUAGAGAUUUGGAGGAACACCAGUGGCGAAGGCGACUUUCUGGCCUGUAACUGACACUGAGGCGCGAAAGCGUGGGGAGCAAACAGG